CGGGAAAAGCUCAAAUUUAAAAUCUGGUGGCCCUUCCGCCAUCCGAGUUGUAAUUUAGAGAAGCGUCUUCCGCGCUGGACCGUGCAUAAGUCUCCUGGAACGGAGCGUCAUAGAGGGUGAGAAUCCCGUCU
rnacentral:rRNA from 1 species